GGGGGAGAAUGGGCAUCCCACCCCAGCACUUUCUAGGAAGGAGGGCAGCAUUUUGAAGGGCUGGAAGUAGAGGAAGGAGGUUGCGGGUAGAAGACUCCAUACUUUCUGUGAUGCCUAUUCCUUAGGAGAGCCUUUAUAUAACCAAAGAUAUUUUUGGACCAUGAAUUCGGAAAUUCUCGGAGCCACCCAUCAGUGCCUGAGCUUCAGUGAGUCCAUAUCCCAUGUCACCCACGGCAAAGGAGAAUCUAAGACUUCUGAAGAGUUUCUUGCUUCUUUCCUGUGGGGCAGUGACUCCACUUCCCAGCAGUAAUGGAAUAUCCUGAAUUAGCUACAUUAAUGUUAGAACCAUUUGGACCUCACCCAGGACUUCAACUACAUUAUGGCCCUCCAAACACCAGCACUGAGUAGAAAGAGGCUCUGAUUCAUGAAAUGUGAAUUUAUGACAGUUGCCACUCUUAAAAAAAAAACAAACAGACAGAACUUGAGCAAUACAUGACUGAUGCAUUCUCAGCCUGCUUCCUGUGUUCCAUCUGUCUUUCUGCCAGUGCAUUCACCCUCCAGGUUCUAGUAUGUUAGGUUUAUGUUCCCCUGCUUUCUACAAUCCUGUUCAAAGAGUUGCUGACUUAACCACAGAGAGGAUUCCAGAACAUGAGACACAGAAUAAACUUGAGCAAUCAUAGUCCAUCCACUUCAUUUUCUCAUCAAAAACCAAAGGUCCAGUGAAGCUCUGGAACUCAACGCUGUAAAGGAGCGAAGGAGCUUCUAUACAGAGCCUGGAUGCCUGUCUCCU
rnacentral:antisense_RNA from 1 species